rnacentral:lncRNA from 1 species
GAAACUGGUAAACAAUAUCCUUUUGUAAGCAUGUAUUAUUAAAAUGAAUGCUUCAAUUUAACAUUUCGAAGUCUUUUCAAAGUAUUAAAGUAAGUAUAAACUAUUCCUGCUUAACAAAACGACUAUCAUGAACAAAUGCAAAAAAAAAAAAGCAUAAGAACGAUAACUUUUAUUAUUAGAAGAUAAAUUUUAUUACCCUAAUAAACAAAAUAAAUUGAUUAGGCAAUUAGGGAUUGACAAAAGAUAUCAAGCGUCGAGUAUGUUUUAACAAAAAAACAAUUUCAAUAAUUAAAUGACAAGCCUCUUCAGGUGUUAUUUUUAUGCUUUUAAAUGACCCAAAAUGCAGAAUUAUUGUUUUGAUAAAUUGGGAACAAUUUUAUCGAUACAAAUUUAGAGCAAAAUUGGUAAAUACAUUAAAUUUGUCUCGAGUCAUUUUCAAAGUUAAAUAUAACAUUUCAUUUUCAAUGACUUCAGCCUUGUCAGAAGAUUUCAACAUAGUCUCCCAUCCUUCUCGGUCAAGAAUCCAUACAGCAGAAUCUAAUUCAGCUACAACUGUGGCAUUAUAGCAUGUCUUACUGAAGAAUGGAAGUUCUCCAACAACGCACAAACAUGUGAUAUUUUCAGAUAAGCUUUCUCUAUCCAUUUGGUACGAAGCCUUAACCAUCCCAGUUUCCAAAAUAACAAGUUUUGAAGGUGUAUCACCUUUUCUCCAUAAUAAGUCUCCUUUUCUCAAGAACGCCUUUUUAAAGAAUGGACAGAGCCCAAGCCAAAAAUCUUCUCGCUUAGUGGUAAUCUCUCCAAACACUUGCAUAAGUAAUGGGAAAGGUUGUUCGUAUUUGGCGUACUUUUCGAAUUUCGAUAACUCCUUUGUUUCAGCUUUGACCGAUGACAUAGCAACUUGCCUUAGCAAAUCGUGUCUGGGUGAUGGUGAAAAGGUUUCAGCCAUUGAAAUGUUUUGUUUGUGUUUUCCGGGCACAGCUAAAGUAUGUGAAUACCCUGCCUUGUGUAAAAGUUUAGUGCGAUACACGUCGUAGUCAUCUAAUAACAUGUUUUCACAGUAUUCCAAUGAAGAGUUGACAUCUUCAAAGACCUGACAACCGCAAUUAUCAUCGCCGCCAAAGCACAUAGUAGUCAAUGUUUUGAAGGAAGACCGAGUCUCAUCCAACCCACAGACGCAUAGCUGUACAUUCAUAGUCGCUAACAUACGACGAAUGCGUAGAAAUGCUUGGACGACACUAAAAUCUGCUCCAUUAACAAGACUAAAAUCGAUAAUAAGGAAUCUAAGCGGAUUAUUUGAGACAUUCAGCUCCUCAAUCAAUCCAGCAAUGUUUUUCUCAACACCGUUGAUAGUACCGAAGAAUAAGAAACCAGAGAGUUUACACACUUGGAUUUGUCUUCCAAUUUCAUUUAAGAAUCGUUGUUGAUUCAUAGGACGACGUACCGUAGAACGAACAAUACCACCUGAAUAAAUUCCACGUAAAGCGGAACGGCUUGAAGCCUGAAUUACAAAGAAAACACAUGCCAUAAUGAUGCCAAUAACAAUACCAACAACGAAAUCCACAACAGUCAUGGUGAAAACAAUUGCACAAAUAGUAAAAUAUUCGAUUUUAGUGGUUAUACCAAUGGGAUCCCAUAAAGAUUCUUUUAGAAGUUCAAUACCGAGUAAAUAAAUUAGGCACCCGACAGUCCAAACAGGGAUAUAGGCAAUAAUUCCAGGACCUAUAACUAAAAGGGCUACAGUUGCCAAAGCUAGCAUAAUACCUGCCAAGCGAUUGUUACCUCCAGAUCGAAUAAACAUUAAAGAAUUCGUAUAUGUCAUGUAAUUUUGAAUGCUGCCUACAGCGCCAGAUAAUGUAUUGCUGACUCCAUGAGCAAUUAGUUCUUUGUCAGUGUCUACAAAGUCGAGCCCAAGUGAAAUAGCUAGCGCUGGAACGUUUAUAGGAACAUGCAAAAUUCCAAAAAAUGUUAAAGCACACAUUUCAGGAACAGUGGCUAACAAUGCGCUCCAAUCAGUAUCACGUAAACUAAACAAGCUAUAAAAAUGAUACCAAGGUACGUUAGUCUCAGUUGAAGAGAAAACCCAUCCGGUCUCACGUAAAUACUCUAGACUCAUGCCUGGUAUUGCCCAAACUAAAACGUAAAAGAUAGCCGGGGCAAUAACAAAAAACGAAGGAAUGAGGAAUGGAUGCGGCCACCUCUGUUGAGCAAAUUCCAAAGCGCUUGAGAGAAAAAGAGGAAUUGACCAUUUUGCGAACGUCAUAGGCUGAAAAAGAGCAGAUAGGGAAGCCCAAUUAAAUGAAACACUUCCUUCUAACCUAGAAGACACUUCAACGGCCGUAAGAACAAGAAAGCUUCCAACACCACCUAUACAACCAAGCAAGAUAUGUCUAGGAAAAAACUCAAUAAGCCUACCAAGUCGGAGGAUGCCAAGAAUAAAAAACACCAAUCCAGUAAGGAUACUGGAUAAACAAUACGCCAAAAUUGUAGUUGCAAUAACGGACUUUGGGUUGUCUUCACCAACACGAUUCAGGAUGGUGAAAGCGAUCUGAUGGAAAAAUGGAAUUACCUCAAUCAUCUCUGAGCCCACACUUCCUUUAAAAAAGGAGCCACCAAGAGAAUAUACUAAUUGUGAUACAACACAACUUACGUAGUAAAUAGCAAGGCCAUCGGCCCCCAAAUUUUUGAAAAGAGGGUCGGAGAUUGGGAAUAAAAUAAGGCCAUAAGAGAGAGCAUCCAAAAUAUUAAGGAGUAAUCCAAUGAUGACAGCAGGUAUAUUAAGGAUAAAUAAGAUGGGACCUUUAUCAUCGAAGAAGAAUUGAUAGAUCUUGCUUAGCGAAAUGCGACCUCUCAGUUUUUUAGAGGGAGCGUUCAGUGACUGGAAAGGCAGUACCUGAUUCUGAGCAGGUGGCAGUUGAGAAGAAUGUUCUUCACGUUCCGGAAGCAAAGGUCUUGUCUCAUUGAUUUCAGAGGGGCGAUAAUUAAAGUCAUUGCGAGAAGUGGAGGCUAGAGAAUGUGCACGUUGGUACGAGCUUAUAGACAUAUAGUCAUAAUUGGAAACAUCAUCGUUCGUUUCUGGAGAAUUUGAAGGAAGAGUUUCGGGAUCCACUUCGACAGAAGCCAACCGAGCUGACAGAAGAUGAAUGUCAUUAGUAUCUCUAAAGCUUUGACUUAGGAACGAAGAGUCUGGGACCGACCCGUUGUCAAUACUAGGAUAAAGCAAACUUCUUUUCUGAUUAAGGCUAUGGGUGGG